CUCUGCAGCCAAAAAAGGCAUGAUAAAGGAAGGAAUCCUAAAACUGUAUUAGCUAGAUCUAAUAGGUUUUGAGGACCAAAAUCUCAAGUAUGAUAACUAGUUUAGGAGUUGAAUAGCACCAUAAUUCAUAUUGAGAAUUUUCAUCGGGAGAAGCAUUUAGGAUACUCAUCUUAAAUGCUAGCAGUGCGGCAAAAUGCUGGCGGCAGGAACUUAAUAACCUCAUGUAUUUUUUAUCAUUGUGAGCACUGAAUAAAGAUCUAUUUGCAGUCAAGUUGGGAGGAAAAACAUCUAAUUCCAUGAUGUUUUGGACAAGCAUUAGCACAUUAUUGACUUGCAUAUGUAACAUGUUCAAAUUAUCUAUUAAAAGAAUGCCACAUAAGUGUUGGUGGAGGUUACCAAAUGACAUAUUUGUCUCAACAUAUGCACAAGCGCAGGCAUCUCAUGAAAACAGAACACAUGCUCAUGUAGACAAUUGCACACAAACAUCUAAUUCCAUGAUGUUUUGGACAAGCAUUAGCACAUUAUUGACUUGCAUAUGUAACAUGUUCAAAUUAUCUAUUAAAAGAAUGCCACAUAAGUGUUGGUGGAGGUUACCAAAUGACAUAUUUGUCUCAACAUAUGCACAAGCGCAGGCAUCUCAUGAAAACAGAACACAUGCUCAUGUAGACAAUUGCAC
rnacentral:lncRNA from 1 species